rnacentral:rRNA from 1 species
ACUCAAAGGAAUUGACGGGGGAUCGCACAAGCGGUGGAGCAUGUGGUUUAAUUCGACGCUAAACGGAGAACCUUACCAGGUCUUGACAUCUUCCGAAAGCCCUAGAAAUAGGGCCGUGCCCGCAAGGGAACGGAAUGACAGGUGUUGCACGGCUGCCGUCAGCUCGUGGCGUGAGCUGUGCCCUUAAGUGGGUAAACGAGCGAAACCCUCGCCAUCUGUUGAAUUUUUCAGAUGGGACUGCCCUCAUUCGGGGGAGGAAGGUGGGGAUGACGUCAAGUCAGCGUGGCCCUUACGACCUGGGCUACACACAUGCUACAAUGGCGCGCACAAAGGGUUGCAAAGUCGCGAGACGGAGCUAAUCCCAUCAAAACGCGCCUCAGUUCGGAUUGCAGGCUGCAACUCGCCUGCAUGAAGCUGGAAUCGCUAGUAACCGUGGGUCAGCUAUACCACGGUGAAUACGUUCUCGAUCCUUGUACACACCGCCCGU